GACGAACGCUGGCGGCGUGCUUAACACAUGCAAGUCGAGCGGUAAGGCCCUUUCGGGGGUACACGAGCGGCGAACGGGUGAGUAACACGUGGGUGACCUGCCUUUAGCUCUGGGAUAAGCCUGGGAAACCGGGUCUAAUACCGGAUAUGACUCCGCGGCGCAUGUUGUGGGGUGGAAAGCCUUGUGCGGCUGGAGAUGGACG
rnacentral:rRNA from 1 species